UCAAUAUGAAGAUGAAGCCAUUGGACUGGUAAGACAAUUGACUGAAGCCACAGCACAAGUCAAAGUGUAAUCAAAGGAAAGAACAGGCGAUGGAAUAGGUCCUUCCACUUAGGGCAACCUGACAGGGGGAACCAAUAUGAGAGAAAUUAAUCAAAACUCUCUAAAAGAACCUGUACCUAAACCUGUUCCUCUGCAGCAUAACAAUGAAGAAAC
rnacentral:lncRNA from 1 species